GGGUGAAGUUGCAAUGAAGAUUGAUAUCAGUAAGGCCUAUGACAAGGUGGAUUGGAACUACCUGUGGUACAUUUUGCUGAAAUUAGGGUUUGUUGCGAGAUGGGUUUACUAGAUAAUGCUUUGUGAGACCUUUGUGUUAAAGGGUAAUGUAGAAAUUAUUUGUUACUGAUUGAAUAAGUUAGUCGUUGAGUCAGUCAAAGUCUGUUUUAGAAACAGACAUAGUCUUUGUUUAAUGCCAGUAGUGUUCCUUUUAUUUAGGAGAUUUAUCAAGAUACUAUUAAAGUCCUAAUAUAUCUCUAAGUUGUUAGCUGUUUCGGUAUUUAAAGUACUCUUCAUGGAAUAAAGGCUGAAUGUCACUGUUUUCAAUUUCUCUGAAUUCCUAUUGUUUCCGCUUCAGUCCUUUGUUCUGGUUUUUUUAGCAGCAGCUUUUUAUCAACAUCUGGUAUCCUACUCGAGGCCUGUGUUCAAGCUUAUGAUGGCGAGCAAUCAGAAUGGAGUGAACCUCUCACAGCCGUUGGUUCUAAUUUUUCAAGGUAGCAACUAUGGAGUUUGGAGCACUAAGAUGAAGACUUUGUUUUUGUCCCAAGACCUAUGGGACUUGGUGGGAAAUGGAUACGGUGAAGAGGAGGCAGUAGCUGAGACUCUCAAAGAUAUAAGAAAGAGGGAUGCUAAAGCUUUGUUUUUCAUCCAACAAGCUGUGGAUGAAUCAAUUUUUCCUCACAUUGAAGUGGUGACGCGUUCGAAAGAAGCAUGGGGCAUGCUACGAACGGCAUAUCAAGGUACUACAAAGGUGAUGUCUGUCAAACUUCAAACUCUGCGUAGGAAGUUUGAUAAUUUUAUUAUGGAAGAUGAUGAUGUUCUGGAUGAUUAUGUGUCAAGAGUAAUUGAUGUUGUGAAUCAAAUUCGAAAAUAUGGUGAGAAUUUAAGUGAUCAAAGGGUAGUUGAGAAGAUUCUUAGGAGUUUACCGAGGAAAUAUGGUCAUGUAGUUGUAGCUAUAGAAGAAUCAAAAGAUUUGAGUGUGUUAACAAUUGAUGAGUUGUAAGGCUCUCUUUACUCUCAUGAUGAUAGGAUGAAAAGGUAUGAUAAUGCGUCUAUUGAGAAUGCCCUUUAUAGUUGGUCGCAAUACUCUCGUGGUGGAAAGGCACCAGCGAAACAAACUUCAAUGACUAGUGUGGAGGAAAUUCAUCUCGUGAGAGAAGAAGAGGUAGGCCGGUGGCCGAUUCAAUGGACAGAACCAACGGUAUAGAGAUGACGAUAAAGGAGAAAAUAGUAGUCCAAAACAAUAUUACUAUUGCAAAAGGUUCGGGUAUAUUGAGAGGUUUUGCAAGCUUAAAGAGAAGCAGGCUAACCUGACUCAUGAAGAUAGUGAAGAAGAUGAGACAGAGAGCCUAUUCGUUGCAUGCUUUAGUGCUAAGGAGUGUUCUCCUGAGGUUUGGUACAGAGAUAGUGGCUGUAGGAAUCAUAUGACAAGUGAAUUAAGUCUCUUCAGCAACUUAGAUAAGUCGGUAACUAGCCGAAUAACGCUUGGUGAUGGAACUGUUCGUGUAGCAAAGGGAAAAGGUACUGUGCAGAUGAAUUCCCUAGGUCUUAAUUGCAUUCAUAAUGUUUUGUAUGUUCCAGACUUAGAUUCUAAUUUGCUAAGUGUUAGGCAAUUUAUGGUGGAUGGGUAUUCACUUGUCUUUGAGGAAUUCAAUUGCUGCAUUUUUAAGGAUAAAUCAAAAAAGCACCUGUUAGUGAGUGUUUCAAUGGCAAAAAAUAAGAUUUUUCCUUAUAAUCUCACAAUUGAUGAAAAGCUUUCAUUGAAGGCAGAAUCAUUUGAUGAAAAUUGGUUGUGGCAUCAUAGAUAUGGGCACUUAAGUUUUUGUAGUUUAAAACUCAUGUCUUAAAAGAAUUUAGUUGAUGGUUUACCUCCAAUAAAAAAUGUUGGUGAUGUGUGUGAGAGCUGUAUAUUUGGGAAACAACAUCGAGAUUCAUUUCCAAAGGGCAAGGCAAGGAGAGCUUCCCAACUUGCUGAACUUAUUCAUGUUGAUCUUUGCAGACCGAUGAGAACACUUUCUCUCAAUAACAAUAGGUAUUUUUUAGUCUUUGUUGAUGACUACAGUAGAAUGACAUGGGUGUACUUUGUCAAAGAAAAAUCAGAGGCUCUUUGAGGUUUCAAGAAGUUUAAAGUAAGUAUUGAGAAACAAAGUGGCCAGCCUAUAAAGACCUUGCAGAUAGAUCGUGGUGGAGAAUUUCUCUCUACUGAAUUCAACAAAAUUUGUGAAGAAUCUGGCAGUCAAUGCCAGCUAACAGCAAGCUACACCCCUCAACAAAAUGGAGUCACUAAGAGGAAGAAUCAGAGUCUUUUUGAGAUGGGAAAAUACUUACUUAAAGCUAAAGAUCUUCCAAAAAGUUUCUGGGCAAAAGCAAUUCACACAGCAGUGUACAUCCUCAACCGAUAUCCAAUAUAGCUCUAGAACAAAAGACACCAUUUGAAGCUUGGCAUAGGUGGAAACCUGAGGUAACUCAUGUGAGAAUUUUUGGUUACAUUGCGUUUGGGCAUAUUCCAUCUCAAAAGAAAGGAAAGUUAGAUGAUAAUAGCACUAAAUGUAUCUUUGUUGGGUAUAGCUCUAAAACUAAAGGAUAUCGAUUGUAUAAUCCUUUAUCUAAGAAGCUAUUAAUUAGUCGUGAUGUUGUUUUUGAUGAGAAAAACUCUUGGAAUUAGAAGGAAUUACAAGCAGGUUCAGAAGCAUUACUUGAAGAUGGUGAAUGUCUCGACACUCAUCCGAGUCAAGAAAAUGGAGAUGGAAGUUCUUACUCAUCAGCACCAAGCAGUCCUUCAGUAAUUCUAAAUACCACUUCAUCAAGCUCUUCUUCAUCAGAAUCACCACCUAGAAAAUGGAGAUCGUUGGCAGAAAUUUAUGCAAGCACUGAACAAUGCCAAUUCGCCCAAAUUGAAGAUCCAAUCAUCUUUGAAGAAGCAAUCAAAUCCAAGGAAUGGCAAGAUGCAAUGGAUAAUGAAAUGAAAGCCUUGAAAAAGAACAAGACGUGGGAAUUAGUAGAUCUUCCAAAUGGAAAAGAAGCUGUUGGGUUAAAAUAUAGAUUUUAAAAACUAAAUUCUAGGCUGAUGGUUCCAUUCAAAAGCAUAAAGAAAGUAUGGUUGCACGAGGGUAUAUACAGCAUGACGGGUUAGAUUUCCAAGAAACUCUCACCGGUAUCAAGAUUUGACACCAUACGUGUUAUUCUGUUAAUUGCAGCUCAAUUAAGUUGGGAGGUUUAUCAGUUUGAUGUCAAGUCGGCCUUUUUAAAUGGGAUCUUAAAAGAAUAAGUAUAUGUGCAGCAACCAAAAGGUUACGAGAUUACAAAUCAAGAAGAGAAAGUGUAUAGGUUGAAAAAGGCUCUAUAUAGCUUAAUGCAAGCGCCGCGAGCCUGGUAUGGAAGAAUUGAUGGAUAUUUCAGCAAUAAUGGUUUUCAAAGAAGUCCAGUGAGCCAAGUCUAUCUAUGAAAAGUAAAGGUACUUCUGAGAUUCUCAUUAUUUGCCUUUAUGUUGAUGAUUUGAUUUAUACUAGCAAUAGUAGUGCUUUGUUGAAUGAGUUUAAAAAGCUGAUGACAGACAAAUUUGAAAUGACUGAUUUGGGGUUGAUGAGUUUCUUUCUAGGGCUAGAAAUUAAAUAUUGUGCAAAGGGUAUUUUUAUGUCUUAAGAAAAAUAUGUGAAUGAUCUUCUUGAAAAGUUCAACUUAAAGGACUGCAAUCUCGUGAGUACUCCAAUGUGCACCAAUCAAAAAUUUUGUUUAGAUGAUGGGGGAGAGAAAAUUGAUUGUUAAUUGUUUCGAAGUCUGAUUGAGAGUCUGUUGUAUCUAACAAAUAGUAGACCUGAUAUUUUGCAAGCAACAGAUCUCUUGUCUAGAUAUAUGUAGAGUCCAAGCAAGCAUCACUUUGGAGCUGCCAAGCAAAUCUUGCGCUAUUUGAAGGGGACAAGCUCAUUUGGAAUAUGGUAUAAGUUCUCUAACAAUCAAAGACUGUAUGGUUUUUCAGAUAGUGAUUUGGGUGGUUGCAUUGAAGAUCGCAAGAGUACAACUAGUUACGUUUUUACUAUGGGUAGCUGAGCUGUUUCAUGAAGCUCAAAGAAGCAACCAUCAACUACUUUAUCAUCUUUGGAGGCUGAAUAUAUGGCUGUUAUUGCUGCUGCGUGUCAAGCUAUCUGGAUACGAAGAAUUCUUGAUGAUUUAAAGCAAACACAAGUAGAGGCAACUACCAUCUAUUGUGAUAAUCAGUCAACAAUUGCAAUGACAAAAAACCCUGUUUAUCACAGUAGAACAAGACACAUUGAAACACGUUAUCAUUUCAUAUGAGAGCUGGUUUCAAAGGGAGAUAUCAAGUUGGAGCACUGUUGCACUGAAGUGCAAGUUGCUGAUUUGUUCACAAAGCCACUUCCACCAAAGAAGUUCAUGUAUUGGAGAGAAUUGUUGGGUGUUGGAGAGUUUCUACCUUAAGGGGGAGUGUUAAAGGGUAAUGUAGAAAUUAUUUGUUACUGAUUGAAUAAGUUAGUCGUUGAGUCAGUCAAAUAUGUUUUAAAAACAGACUUAGUCUUUGUUUAAUGCCAGUAGUGUUCCUUCUAUUUAGGAGAUUUAUCAAGAUACUAUUAGAGUCCUAAUAUAUCUUUAAGUUGUUAGCUAUCUCGGUAUUUAAAGUACUCUUCAUGGAAUAAAGGCUGAAUGUCACUGUUUUCAAUUUCUCUGAAUUCCUAUUACUUCCGCUUCAGUCCGUUGUUCUAUUUUUUUUCAGUAGCAGCGUUUUAUCAACAGUUAGGUGGGUGAAGUUGCAAUGAAGAUUGAUAUCAGUAAGGCCUACGACAAGGUGGAUUGGAACUACUUGUGGUACAUUUUGCUGAAAUUAGGGUUUGUUGCGAGAUGGGUUUAAUAGAUAAUGCUUUGUGAGACCUUUGUUCAGUAUUCAGUUUUGCUUAAUGAUGGAGAGUUUGGCUCGAUUAUGUCAAAGGGCGGAUUCUACAAGGAGACCCGUUUUCACCUUAUUUCUAUAUCCUAUGUGAUGGAGGGCUAUCUUUCUUGUUCCGAAAGGCAAAAGAUUAUGGUGAUUUACAUGGGAUUUCUGUGAGUAAGGGAGAUAUUUCGGUUACUCACUUGCUUUUCAUUGACGAUCAUUUUUUUCUUUAUCCGUGCUAGAGAAAGUGAGUGCAGGACCAUGCGACAUAUUUUGCAUACUUAUGAAAAGGCUUUGGGUUAAACAGUUAAUUAUCAGAAGUUAGGGGUCAUGUUUAGUUCUAACAAAAAGCUAGUUGAUAAGCAUGUGGCUUUUUCUUUACUAGGGUGGAGGUGCCUAUCUCUUAGGGUUCUUAUUUGGGGCUCCCCUCCCUUGUUGGUAGGAAUAAGAGGCAAAUCUUUCGUUUUAUUCGUGAGAGACUUGCAAAUGCAUAUUUAGCUGGAAGAAUAGAUUAUUAUCGAGACUGAGUAAGGAGGUAGUGCUCAAAACUAUUGCUCAGGCAAGAACUUUUUAUUGCAUGAGUGUCUUUAUGAUUCCUACCAGUAUGUGUGAUGAGCUGCAAUGUAUGAUGAACUCGUUCUGGUAGGGUUCGGGCUCUAGUACUAGUAGAGGAAUGCUGUGGGCAUCUUAAGACUAGCUAUGUAUGUCUAAGAAGUUUGGGGGCAUGGGUUUUUGGAAUCCCUAUAGUUUCAACUUGGCAAUGCUUGGAAAGUAAAGGUAGUGUUUCGUGCUUAACCUGGAUUUUCUUCUCUGUCGCAUUUUCAAAGCCAGAUAUUUUCCCGAGUGCAGGUUCCUUGAAUCUGUAGAUGGUAAUAAGCCUUUGUUUGUUUGGAGGAGCAUACAUGCGGCCAAGCUGCUGUUGUUGAAAGGGAUUUGGUGAAGGUUUUGGUACGGGUCAUAGCAUUAGAGUUCUCUCGAACCCUUUGCUUCCGAAUGAAACAAAUUUUUAUGUCGAGUCGAUUCGAUUCUGUUUGAUGGCAUGGAUGAUCUUUGGGUGAGUGAUCUUUUAAACACUUGGGGUGACAGUUGGGAUGUUAAGCUGGUAGAAGGUAAUUUGGCUCCGUAUGAUGCUAAAAGAAUCUUGCAACUUCCUAUUGCGCAAAUAAGCUGACUGAUCAGUUUCUGUGGCACUACACACGUUCAAGGAUUUAUGAAGUUAAAUAGGGUUAUGCGUUGGUAGUUAACUCUAUGUCCACAGUUAUGGGGCUAAAGGUGGAGGGUCCUUGGUCCUUAUUGUGGAAUGUGGAUGUCCCUCUCAAGGUUAAGGAUUUUUUGUGGAGAUGUUUGCGUCGAUUCAUCCUUUGCAAAGGACGCUUAGCCGAGAGGGGUUUCCCUAUUGACUCAUUAUGUCCUCGUUGUGGAGGAGUUGAAAGCAUCGAAAGUAUCUUACUUAAAUGUCCUAUAAUGCUAGAUGCGUGGAGGGUUCUUGGACCUGUAGAGACUGCCUCGAAUGAUGUAUUUUUACGUUCUGUUCUCUCCAUGGUCAGUGUCCUGACUAAGUGCCGUAUUAUGACAGUUACGUGGAGUUUGUAGUUGUAUCGCAAUUUCUUUGUUUGGCAGGCUGCAGAUGUCACCUCCUUCACUAUUGUUUCGGUGGCCGACCAUUUCUUGAAGGACGGGAAGGAAGCCCGCAACGUUUUAGCUGGGGUGCAACAGGCUACUGCUAGGACGAUUGUUCACGAUUGUUCACGACCAACACUAGAUUCAGCCAGCCAGAAACUUUAUAAAUGCAAGCGCAUGCUGAGCAAGAUGCUUUCUCUUUUGCGGCUGUUAUUCAGGAUCACGCAGGUGCUUUUAUCUAAGGUUCUUCAAGUUUAUGUCCCUUUAUUUUGGAGCCACGCAUAGCCGAGUUGCUGGGCAUUGAUGAGGUUCUUGGCUGGCUUAAGUCUGAAUAGUUUGACCAUUUUCUUAUUUAAUCAGAUUGUAAAUAUGUUAUUAUAGCUCUUACUUCAUCGACCAUGGAUUAUACUAUUGUUCAAGAUUGUAUGUCGUUGAAAUAGUCUGUUCGACAUUUGUCCUUUCAUUGGACUCGAUGAGCUACUAAUAAGGCAGUUCAUGAGUUUGUUCGGGUAACUUUAUUAUAUGCUAAUCAUCAAACGUGGCAUAAUCUUAUCCAUUUUUUUUUUGGUCUUUUUUUAAAUAUGGAUUGCCCUUUUAUCUUCUUCCACAACCGCUAGAAGGACAUACGAUUGAGUAUAU
rnacentral:lncRNA from 1 species